rnacentral:rRNA from 1 species
CGCUGGCGGCGUGCUUAACACAUGCGAGUCGAGCGAUGAGGCCGAGCUUGCUAGGUGGAUUAGUGGCGAACGGGGGAGUAAUACGUGAGUAACCUAGCUUGAACUCUGGGAUAAGCCUGGGAAACUGGGGCUAAUACCGGAUACGACCAAUCUCCGCAUGGGGUGUUGGUGGAAAGCGUUAUGUAGUGGUUAUAGAUGGGCUCACGGCCUAUCAGCUUGUUGGUGAGGUAACGGCUCACCAAGGCGACGACGGGUAGCCGGCCUGAGAGGGUGACCGGCCACACUGGGACUGAGACACGGCCCAGACUCCUACGGGAGGCAGCAGUGGGGAAUAUUGCACAAUGGGCGCAAGCCUGAUGCAGCGACGCCGCGUGAGGGAUGACGGCCUUCGGGUUGUAAACCUCUGUUAGCAGGGAAGAAGAGAAAUUGACGGUACCUGCAGAGAAAGCGCCGGCUAACUACGUGCCAGCAGCCGCGGUAAUACGUAGGGCGCGAGCGUUGUCCGGAAUUAUUGGGCGUAAAGAGCUUGUAGGCGGUUUGUCGCGUCUGCUGUGAAGGCCGGGGCUUAACCCCGUGUAUUGCAGUGGGUACGGGCAGACUAGAGUGCAGUAGGGGAGACUGGAACUCCUGGUGUAGCGGUGGAAUGCGCAGAUAUCAGGAAGAACACCGAUGGCGAAGGCAGGUCUCUGGGCUGUAACUGACGCUGAGAAGCGAAAGCAUGGGGAGCGAACAGGAUUAGAUACCCUGGUAGUCCAUGCCGUAAACGUUGGGCACUAGGUGUGGGGGACAUUCCACGUUUUCCGCGCCGUAGCUAACGCAUUAAGUGCCCCGCCUGGGGAGUACGGCCGCAAGGCUAAAACUCAAAGAAAUUGACGGGGGCCCGCACAAGCGGCGGAGCAUGCGGAUUAAUUCGAUGCAACGCGAAGAACCUUACCAAGGCUUGACAUAUACUGGACCGCAUCAGAGAUGGUGUUUCCCUUCGGGGCUGGUAUACAGGUGGUGCAUGGUUGUCGUCAGCUCGUGUCGUGAGAUGUUGGGUUAAGUCCCGCAACGAGCGCAACCCUCGUUCUAUGUUGCCAGCACGUUAUGGUGGGGACUCAUAGGAGACUGCCGGGGUCAACUCGGAGGAAGGUGGGGAUGACGUCAAAUCAUCAUGCCCCUUAUGUCUUGGGCUUCACGCAUGCUACAAUGGCCGGUACAGAGGGUUGCGAUACUGUGAGGUGGAGCUAAUCCCUAAAAGCCGGUCUCAGUUCGGAUUGGGGUCUGCAACUCGACCCCAUGAAGUCGGAGUCGCUAGUAAUCGCAGAUCAGCAACGCUGCGGUGAAUACGUUCCCGGGCCU